CAGAGCUAAUGAGAGAGAUGGCCAGCAAAGAUCAUCAUGGCCCUGACCUAUGGUGGUGGAGGUGGGAGUGGCGACAUUUUCUCCCCGGGAGAGGUGCACGGAUCUAAUUAAGUCCAAAACAGCAUCACAUGAGAACAAGCCAGGAUUUAUUAAUGAUCAGGACACCAUGCGAAAUUCAUCUCCUUGACCUUAAAUAUUGAGAUGACUGGAAAGAAAUCCAAUUUAUUUGCUAAAUCAAGAGAUUGAUUGUCUUACA